AUCCACUCUAGCUUUCAAUCAUAAGCCAAAAUCUCUCUCUGGUUCAUCUUAUUUAAAAAAUCAGCUUAGUUUCUCUUAGUCUAAAAUUUUAAACUCUGGGUCAAUCCCUACAAUGCUAUUUCACUCUUCCACUUCCCUCCCUUUCUCUUCUUUUUUGUUUCUCUUUCUUUUACUGCUAGCCAUAUGGUUCAGCUUUCCUUAAGAGAACUCAUGCCCAUAAUCAGAGUAAUAUAGAAUGUAUUUAAAGAGUCAGUGUUGUAAUGUUUUUCUAUAAUUAUAAUAUUAAAAUAGAACUAUAAUAGUUUUCAGAUUUGUAAAAAAUAUUUUUCAGAUAUAUGUAUGUACAUACAUUUGCUACAUGUGAUGUACACAUGAAUGCUAUUCUCAUUGUGCAGCACAUCGUAUAGGGAAGCAGCUCAAUCACCAGUCAGCACCUGCAAUUUCAAGCCUCUACCCUGGUGGCCUAUUAAUGUUUAAGGUGAAGGAAAUGUCCUGUGGUAACUGGGGCUGUUUAAAAGAGGAAGGAUGGUGUCAGAGACUCAAUGCAACCCAAUAUAUAAAAGGAAUCCACUUUCCUUUUUAGUGCACCCUAAGGACAUGCAGUGAUUUUUAUCUUGAUGUCAUUUUUUAAAUAUUUGGGGGUUUGUGGCGUGAACCCGGGAGGCGGAGCUUGCAGU
rnacentral:lncRNA from 10 species